AGGGUUGCACGGGCAUGCUGGAGUCUAUCCCAGCUGACUUCGGGCGACAGGCGGGGUACACCCUGGAGUGGUCGCCAGCCAAUCGCAGGGAAAACGCCCAUCUGCUUGGUCUUCAUGGCGCUGUACAGCACCGAGGUGAUCUUCAACAUCUCCUUCACUGCAUAGCCAUCAGCCUGGUAGAGGCGCUUGGUGUUCAGCUUGAUGUGAGCUUUAGUCGCC